rnacentral:lncRNA from 1 species
CUGUAGACUAGUAAAAGCUUAUUUCCUUGUAAUAAAAUAGUCUUAAUGCUAAAAUUCAAAUAAGACUUCAUAUGGUUUGGCUAUGCCUCCACCCAAAUCUCAUCUUGAAUUCUGAUGUUGUGGGAGGGAUCUGGUGGGAGGUAAUUGAAUCAUAGGGGCAGGUCUUUUCCGUGCUGUUCUCAUUAUAGUGAAUAAGUCUUGGGAGAUCUGAUGAUUUUAAAAAGAGGAGUUUCCCUUCACAAGCUCUCUUCUCUUGUCUGCCACCAUGUGAGACAUACCUUUCACUUUCUGCCAUGAUUGUGAGGCCUCCUCAGCCAUGUGGAACGGACUUUUUGAUUGCCUUUUAUGUGCUCCACCAGCCGUAGGCCAUGGGCCAUAUCAGUUUGCUUAACAUCUAUUACCUGAGCAGCAUCUUACCCAGAUUUGUCACACAGAGCGUGCUUACUCAAUAAAGAACAUCUUAUUGAAUGAGGAUUCUGGUCAGACACAUGCUGUUUUUAACAUCAACAUUUCAACAAAGGGAUUUAGGUGGGCAGCAGCACUUGGUUAUUUACAAGUUCAGGAUCCUGUUUAUAAAGCAAGGUAAGAUUGCUAUCUGUCUCCAGCACUAUGGCGAGAUAAUUAAUAGGAGCACUGCUGGAGACUGAUAGUGCAGGCGGCCGAUACCCAUGGCAGGAGCUCUCGUCAUCUAACUGCCACAGAAUUGUGAAGGUAAAGAAUCUGCAGAAAAGUGGAACAUUCAUUUUUACUAAAUAAAUGCAUUAUCUAUAGCACACAUUAUAGAGUUUUGUUGUUGUUGUUGUUAAUCUAACAUGUAACAGAAAUAAAAGAGAUUGUUUCUAAACCA